GACGAACCGUGCGAACGUUGUUCGGAAUCACUGGGCAUAAAGGGCGCGUAGGCGGCUCGCGAGGUCGGGGGUGAAAUCCCACAGCUUAACUGUGGAAGUGCCUUCGAUACCGGCGGGCUGGAGGAAGGUAGGGGUGCGCGGAACUUCUGGUGGAGCGGUGAAAUGCGUUGAUAUCAGAAGGAACGCCGGCGGCGAAAGCGGCGCACCUGGACCUUUUCUGACGCUGAGGCGCGAAAGCCAGGGGAGCAAACGGG
rnacentral:rRNA from 1 species